GGCCCUAUCGUCUAGCCUGGCCUAGGACGCGAGCUUUUCAAGCUUGAAACCCGGGUUCGAAUCCCGGUGGGGUCACCA
rnacentral:tRNA from 5 species